AACAAACGCUGGCGGCGUGCCUAAUACAUGCAAGUCGAACGGGUAGCAAUACCAGUGGCGCACGGGUGAGGAAUACAUAGAUAAUCUGCCUUCGAGUCGGGGAUAACCAGUCGAAAGACUGGCUAAUACCGGAUAAGACCACAGGAUCUGCGGAUCUAGGGGUUAAAGGUUUUUCGCUUGAAGAUGAGUCUAUGCGAGAUUAGCUAGUUGGUGAGGUAACGGCUCACCAAGGCGACGAUCUCUAACUGGUCUUAGAGGAUGAUCAGUCACACUGGAACUGAGACACGGUCCAGACUCCUACGGGAGGCAGCAGUAGGGAAUAUUGCGCAAUGGGGGAAACCCUGACGCAGCGACGCCGCGUGAGUGAUGAAGGCCUUCGGGUCGUAAAGCUCUGUCGUAUGGGAAUAACACAAUGAAUGUACCAUGCAAGAAAGGAUCGGCUAACUUCGUGCCAGCAGCCGCGGUAAGA
rnacentral:rRNA from 1 species